UACGUAGGUGGCAAGCGUUAUCCGAAUUUACUGGGCGUAAAGCGCGUGCAGGCGGUUCGGUAAGUUGGAUGUGAAAUCUCCCGGCUCAACUGGGAGAGGUCGUUCAAGGCUGUCGGACUGGAGGACGGUAGAGGGAGGUGGAAUUCCCGGUGUAGUGGUGAAAUGCGUAGAUAUCGGGAGGAACACCUGUGGCGAAAGCGGCCUCCUGGACCGUACCUGACGCUCAGACGCGAAAGCUAGGGGAGCGAACGGG
rnacentral:misc_RNA from 1 species